AGCGGUAGAGAGGUGCUUGCACCUCUUGAGAGCGGCGGACGGGUGAGUAAUACCUAGGAAUCUGCCUGGUAGUGGGGGAUAACGUUCGGAAACGGACGCUAAUACCGCAUACGUCCUACGGGAGAAAGCAGGGGACCUUCGGGCCUUGCGCUAUCAGAUGAGCCUAGGUCGGAUUAGCUAGUUGGUGAGGUAAUGGCUCACCAAGGCUACGAUCCGUAACUGGUCUGAGAGGAUGAUCAGUCACACUGGAACUGAGACACGGUCCAGACUCCUACGGGAGGCAGCAGUGGGGAAUAUUGGACAAUGGGCGAAAGCCUGAUCCAGCCAUGCCGCGUGUGUGAAGAAGGUCUUCGGAUUGUAAAGCACUUUAAGUUGGGAGGAAGGGCAUUAACCUAAUACGUUAGUGUUUUGACGUUACCGACAGAAUAAGCACCGGCUAACUCUGUGCCAGCAGCCGCGGUAAUACAGAGGGUGCAAGCGUUAAUCGGAAUUACUGGGCGUAAAGCGCGCGUAGGUGGUUUGUUAAGUUGAAUGUGAAAUCCCCGGGCUCAACCUGGGAACUGCAUCCAAAACUGGCAAGCUAGAGUAUGGUAGAGGGUAGUGGAAUUUCCUGUGUAGCGGUGAAAUGCGUAGAUAUAGG
rnacentral:rRNA from 1 species